rnacentral:tRNA from 1 species
GCCAACUAAGUGUUUAUUCUGCACAUUGACUUUUCACGUCAAAAGAGCACAUUAAGUGCAUUUGGCU